UUGUCACUUUAUGCUUUCCCCAUCUCUAAAGUGAUGACAUCCUUGCAUUACAUACUUUAGGUUCAUUCUCUGCAGGCAGGUUUCUGACAGAGAACAGACAGAUUUACACUAACAUGCAGCGAUGGACACAUAAAGAAAUGAAAAAUCACAUGUGCUGCUCUCUCAAAGACUGAAUGAACCAGCAUUGCAGCCAUGGGUCACUGUGAGCAUCACAGGGAAGGUUGAAGUCGCCCACUGCAGCUGUAUGGCCGGAGUCGCAGAGAACUGCAGCCAUGUCGCUGCUCUUCUGUUUAAAGUAGAAGCAACAGUCUUGAUCGUGGCACAAGGACUGUUACAGAUGAACCUGCUUACUGGGUUUUGCUGGGUAAUGUGACCAAGAUACAGCCAGAGGUUGGCCAUAAGAUAGACUUCUCCUCUUCAGCUGCCCAAAAAAAGGCUCUUGAUCAAAACAUAAACAGACCAUCCGUAGUGACAAGUAAAAGAAGCCGUCCUCAAAAAAGUAAAAUCCCACCUGCUACUGUGGAGGAGUCUAGAUGUAUGCCUGUAGUGCACUGCCGUGUAAAUAAUUUGCAUUUACUGAAUAUGUACUGACUGAGUCCCACUGUUCAAAAGUUGAAUAAAGAAACAAACUAAUUUUUGCCUCUUUUUAUUUUAUUUUAUUAAAACCACCUUAUAGAGCAUCACAUCAGUAACAGUGUAGAAUCCAUGUCAUUUAUAGUUUACAAAUGACAAAAUGUUUACACCAAAUCAUGAGUGUUUACAUGAUAUCACCCACUACUAACAUUACUUUAUUUACUGUAUCUUUUGAAAAAAAUAACAGCACAAGACUUAAGAACAUUUAACAGGAGCAGGUUUCAUUCUUCCCUGGUUUUAUUAUCACACUGUUCACCAAACGCAGCAAACCUUCACCAUCUUAUCCAGGAGGGUCACCUCUUCACCCUCACAUGGAAGAAGUAAUCUGAUUGGCAUGGUGGUUUGUUUGAAGCAGGUCCCUCGUGUAGCGCUGGGACCCAGUCACGAUGUUUCAUCCAUUUCAUAGGCUGGUUUGCUGCAAUAAUGCCAAAUAAUUAGCAACUCUAUAAAUAGACGGUAGUUCUGCAAAAUCACUCAGUAGGAUGUUUGUUCUAAUUUGCUAUGAGCUCAGAGUGCAUUG
ensembl:lncRNA